AACGAACGCUGGCGGCAUGCCUAACACAUGCAAGUCGAACGAGACCUUCGGGUCUAGUGGCGCGAGGGUGCGUAACGCGUGGGAACCUGCCCUUAGGUUCGGAAUAACUCCCCGAAGGGGGUGCUAAUGCCGGAUCAUGUCUUCGGACCAAAGAUUUAUCGCUUUUGGAUGGGCCCGCGUUGGAUUAGCUAGUUGGUAGGGUAAAAGCCUACCAAGGCGACGAUCCAUAGCUGGUCUGAGAGGAUGAUCAGCCACACUGGGACUGAGACACGGCCCAGACUCCUACGGGAGGCAGCAGUGGGGAAUAUUGGACAAUGGGCGAAAGCCUGAUCCAGCAAUGCCGCGUGAGUGAUGAAGGACUUAGGGUUGUAAAGCUCUUUUACCAGGGAUGAUAAUGACAGUACCGGGAGAAGAAGCUCCGGCUAACUCCGUG
rnacentral:rRNA from 1 species